UUCUUUCAUUGUAUUGAUAGAAGUCUAACUAGAAAAGGAUCUCUCUAUUACUUUGAGAAGAGAAUCGUUGGUUUUACCGACGAACUACGUGGGAAAAUGGACCACACGUGCAACCAUCAAACCAGAGACCAAAGCAGGGAUCGACAUAAAGUUUAAGCCAAGCCUAGACAAAUUGUAUUUCACACUUAACUUUCGCCACGAAAAUGCGAUAGGAAUUCUGUAUAUAUAUGGCAGCGAUGCCUGUGCUCUUGUAAUAGAUUGAGCCAGUACCUAAAAACCUGCUCUACUAAAACUUUGUCAAAACGAGAGCGUGCAUUUUCUAAAUUCAAAUUUACAGCCCCCAUUUUGAGUUCAAUAUAUUCCAAUGCCUCCCUUCUUAUGGCCCUUUCGGGAAAAGGAGAUUCCCCCAAAAUUUGGAUUAAGCGAUCAUCUGGUUCGCUGAGAAGGAGAUUAAAAAGCUGGUCCUGUAAAUUAGCUUUCAAUUCGAGGACUGUAAUGUCGAAGAUUUCAUUGGAUA
rnacentral:lncRNA from 1 species